UCCUGCCUCCUACAUCCUAUGCACUGCACUGGCAACUGCCAGAGGAAGUUAGUCAUUUCCACGUUAGAGAGCCUCCCAUGCCAUAAGCCAGCCAACCCAUUUCUGCACGCAGGAUCAGCAGGAUCAACUCUGCUGUCUGGUUGAAAACUCACUUUGCUGACCAUGGGCGCAUCCAGCUGAGAACAAGUGUCAGAUAAGCACAGUCAAACUGGACUGAAGAUUGUGAAACUGCAUCUGGAAUGAGUCUUGCCCCAAGUAAAGGGAUGAAGAGAGAACACUCAACACUUGCAUAAGCAAAAGUUAAAUAAAUUAGGUGCAAACCCCAA